CCGAAGUUAAGCGAAGGCUCCUAAACCCCUCGUGAACAUAUCCACUUGUUGCCUCGGCGGAUCAGCCCGGCUCCCGUAAACGGGGACCGGCCCCGCCUCAGAGGUAAGGGCAGCCGCCGGGUAGAACUCUGUUUCUAUAGUGGUAUCUUCUGAGUAAAACCAUAAUAAGUCA
rnacentral:misc_RNA from 1 species